GUAACGGCGUGGGUAACCUGCCUCAUACAGGGGGAUAACAGUUAGAAAUGACUGCUAACACCGCAAUAAAUAUAGCGAAACCGCAUGAUUUUUGCUAUCAAAUAUUUAUAGGUAUGAGAUGGGCCCGCGUCUGAUUAGCUAGUUGGUGGGGUAAAAGCCUACCAAGGCGACGAUCAGUAGCCGGCUUGAGAGAGUGACCGGCCACAUUGGGACUGAGACACGGCCCAAACUCCUACGGGAGGCAGCAGUGGGGAAUAUUGGACAAUGGGGGAAACCCUGAUCCAGGACCGACGCCGCGUAGAGUGAAGAAGUAUUUCGGUAUGUAAAGCUCUAUCAGCAGGGAAGAUAAUGACAGUACCUGACUAAAGAAGCCCCGGCUAACUACGUGCCAGCCGCCGC
rnacentral:rRNA from 1 species